AUAUGAUACUUCAAAAUCUGUGAUUCCAUGAAGCCAAGAGUAGCUCUUCAACAGGAAAUGAAUGAGUGCUUCACUUCUGAUCUCAUUAGUAAGAAAAUACAGUCUUAUGAGCAAUGAUGGAGCUGCAUCUCUUAGGGGCAUUUGAUUCCCAAGAGACCAAAGAGCAAAGAGAAUGUCAAUUUAAAAAAAUCAAAUGUUUCCAUGACUUAGCUAUUUAACUGCUUUAAAAUGAAUGAAUGCUGCUUCAAGUUCUUUCAAAUACCCCACAUCUUGGCAACAACGAAAGGAAUUAACAUGAAGAAAAUUUACAAUCUUUCAUCACAUCGAACAAUGUCCCACAUUUGAAAAGUUCACAGCACAGAUUUCUGGUUACUGAAAGAAAGGAAAGACCUUCUUUGGAUUUCUAUCCACAGAAGGAAUGAUCUGCAAUGUACACAUGCCAGGACAGAAAUUCUACAGUUGCUGAUAAAAUGUAAACCAUCACCCCACCACCAGGGUCCCUGCUUCUCCUGUAAGGGAAUCAUUAUAGAAAAAAAUUAAGAGGCUUGAGAAAAUCAGAAGUUCACAAGGGAAGAAAGGAAAGAAAUUAUAGGAAGCAGGAAGAGCUCUGGGGAGCUGUUUUCAGGAGCAAAUAUCCAAAUGAACACCUUGACUCAUGGCUGCAUCUGCAAGGAAGAUGGGACAUCCAUUCUCACUUGUACACAGGCUAUGGGCUGUCCGGAGCCCUGAGCUGAAGACAGGCCUGCUGCUGAUCCCAGAGACAGAUGGCCAGAGUUAGGAACAGCAUGCACAAAGAAGAUCCUAAGCCUUCCUGGAGACGUGCCAAUAUCAUCAUAUGGGGGUCUUAAAGCCAAGCAGGGGAAUAAGCGUUAUGGGGAAUGCUGAGAAGGAGAUGUAUAAUCAAGUGUGUAGGUUUAGGACUUCAGUCAAAGGGCUGCUUUUUUGCUGCUCUCAGGCAGUUUUCACUGCAUGUCUUCACCUCUGGUAUCUUCAAAGCACUCCUUGGCUUGUGCCAUUAAUACUUUACCUAAGAUUUUUAGAAAUUCUGUCUGGUCAUAUGCUACAUCCUACUUGUAUUGAAGGAACCCUUAGAAUUUCCUCUUUAUUGCUAUACAUCUCUUUAAGUCUCUUAUCUUUAGUGACUAAGGUAAAAUUUGGUCCUUUAAUAAUCAUAAUAAACAGGUAAUCAUACUUACCUGUUUCUUGAUUUGACCUGAGAACAUCUUAAGCAAAGCUUGUUAGAAAGUGAGUUAAAGCGUGGCUCUUUAGUCUGGAGCCUGUGAAGGAUGUUACAGUUGCUGGAGAUAGACAAGCAGGCUUUGUUUGCAUUGAACCACAGCAAUGUCUCAUGCUCUUCCUUGUUCUCUAUUUAGCACUUCAUCUUCAUCUAAUGUCUAACAAAGCAUGGUCUGUGGCAGGCAGUCUGUGGUAAGCAUAGUGAAUCAGCCUACCCUUCUGGAAGGUGACAGC
rnacentral:lncRNA from 1 species